AUAUUGCACAAUGGGCGCAAGCCUGAUGCAGCCAUGCCGCGUGUAUGAAGAAGGCCUUCGGGUUGUAAAGUACUUUUAGCGGGGAGGAAGGAAGUACGGUUAAUAACCGUGCUGAUUGACGUUACCCGCAGAAGAAGCACCGGCUAACUCCGUGCCUGCCGCCGCGGUAAUACGGAGGGUGCAAGCGUUAAUCGGAAUUACUGGGCGUAAAGCGCACGCAGGCGGUCUGUCAAGUCGGAUGUGAAAUCCCCGGGCUCAACCUGGGAACUGCAUUCGAAACUGGCAGGCUUGAGUCUUGUAGAGGGGGGUAGAAUUCCAGGUGUAGCGGUGAAGUGCGUAGAGAUCUGGAGGAAUACCGGUGGCGAAGGCGGCCCCCUGGACAAAGACUGACGCUCAGGUGCGAAAGCGUGGGGAGCAAAC
rnacentral:rRNA from 1 species